rnacentral:rRNA from 1 species
GACGAACGCUGGCGGCGUGCUUAACACAUGCAAGUCGAACGGAAAGGCCCUGCUUUUGUGGGGUGCUCGAGUGGCGAACGGGUGAGUAACACGUGAGUAACCUGCCCUUGACUUUGGGAUAACUUCAGGAAACUGGGGCUAAUACCGGAUAGGAGCUCCUGCUGCAUGGUGGGGGUUGGAAAGUUUCGGCGGUUGGGGAUGGACUCGCGGCUUAUCAGCUUGUUGGUGGGGUAGUGGCUUACCAAGGCUUUGACGGGUAGCCGGCCUGAGAGGGUGACCGGCCACAUUGGGACUGAGAUGCGGCCCAGCCUCCUACGGGAGGCAGCAGUGGGGAAUAUUGCACAAUGGGCGGAAGCCUGAUGCAGCAACGCCGCGUGCGGGAUGACGGCCUUCGGGUUGUAAACCGCUUUCGCCUGUGACGAAGCGUGAGUGACGGUAAUGGGUAAAGAAGCACCGGCUAACUACGUG